UAAAUAUCUUGGCCACAUACAACCUAACGUUUUGUUUUCGACGAGUAUACAAAUUCUAUGCUAGUUCGACGUAACUGAACAGCUGGUAUAAUUUAUGAACAGUUGUAUAAAAUUUAUACACCCGUACUAACAAUAUAUACAAUUGGUUUUAGAGUUUUCGGCACAAAUGUUCAGUGCAGUGAACCGCCAAAUCAGGUUUGGGGGCUGACCUGAAGAAUCUGAUGCGAGCCUUUUUCUGAUUGUUGCUACUCCUUUCCACUCUCACUUGAGCACGUUUGGCACCAAGAUGAACUUGAUACAGUUUAGCAGAAAAUCCAGUCUUUAAUGACAUUAUGACGGCAACAAAACCGGCGACUGAAAAAAAGAGAAAGUAAAGAUUGGUUAGUUACAAUUUGACAAUGAAUACAUAAACCACAAGAGCACAACCGAUAAACAACAGCAUAGGAGGCACACAAAUAAAUACGUGUUUUGGUUGUCUGAACCUUACUUUUCUGUGGCCAACACCUGCACCAGAACCAUAACAAAGAGAGUUCAUGACUGCACCGAGAGUACCGGAGCUAAUCUGCAGUGAAAAUUACAGACAUAUCCUGCCGGGGAAAAAAAAAAAAAAAAAAAAAAAAAAAAAAAAAGAGAACUCAGCAGGAAAGAAAUCAAUAACUGAAAGAGGGCAAAAUGUGCAUAUGGGAGGAAACUGCAUAAGUAAAGGCCCGCUUCAUAACCAUUUCAGUUUUUAGUUUUCAGUUUACAAGAAAAUUGAAAUCAAAAACUGAACUGAAAAUGAAAUGGUUGUCAAAUGGCUCCCAAGUAAAACAGAGAGGAGCUCCAAUACAAAAUCAGAAAGUCCAGUAAACUUACAUGGUCGCCCAUACAGAAUGAACUCCAAUUUAAUCAUGCUUAAAGCCAUAAUUAGGGGUUGCAGUUUUCAACCAACAAGUUAAAACGCCAGGGGAUGGGAUUAGCAGGGUAAGGAGUCAUAACCGAAGGCACCUACUAUUUCGCAACCUCCCCUACUCUAUAUUAACACAGGACCACGAUAAGAUGGAAAUUGUUAGUUUCCCACCAACCCAUUCACAAUAAAAAAAUACCAACAAACAAUUAAAAAUUAGUAAAAGGAAAUGUUAAAAUUUUAAGAUACCUUAAGAAGCAUACAACUUUGCAUACAGUAAGCAGUGCUACGAUAGAUCAAUACUUGGGAUGAUUUUCCAGAGAAGUCUAUAUGGGGGCCUUGAGCACGCAUCAUCACCACCGUCAUUGGGAAGAGAAGCCAACUCAUUCUCCAAAAUAGAGUGAGCUUCUGAAAAUGCCUACAACAUCCAAUGAUAAUCUCGAAAGUAAGAAACAAGCAUCUGUACACAUAUGCAGCUAGCAAUAGAUAAGCAUCACAUUAUCACACAAGGUAAUAUUGAAUAUGUCAGAAAAUAUCAUGACAAUUAAUCCCAAAAAAACACAGCUUACCUUGAUACACUGAUGUAUACGGAAGCAAUUACGCCCCACAUUAUUAGUUGGAAAAAGGGGAUCAUCAAUGUGUAUCGGGUCAAUACUACAUGGAGCAGAUCAAUAUAUAAGCAAUGCAAAAAAGUUAAGAAUUUCUCUUCAAGCACAAAUAAGAAAACAGAGUACUGCUAUUACCNNNNNNNNNNNNNNNNNNNNNNNNNNNNNNNNNNNNNNNNNNNNNNNNNNNNNNNNNNNNNNNNNNNNNNNNNNNNNNNNNNNNNNNNNNNNNNNNNNNNNNNNNNNNNNNNNNNNNNNNNNNNNNNNNNNNNNNNNNNNNNNNNNNNNNNNNNNNNNNNNNNNNNNNNNNNNNNNNNNNNNNNNNNNNNNNNNNNNNNNNNNNNNNNNNNNNNNNNNNNNNNNNNNNNNNNNNNNNNNNNNNNNNNNNNNNNNNNNNNNNNNNNNNNNNNNNNNNNNNNNNNNNNNNNNNNNNNNNNNNNNNNNNNNNNNNNNNNNNNNNNNNNNNNNNNNNNNNNNNNNNNNNNNNNNNNNNNNNNNNNNNNNNNNNNNNNNNNNNNNNNNNNNNNNNNNNNNNNNNNNNNNNNNNNNNNNNNNNNNNNNNNNNNNNNNNNNNNNNNNNNNNNNNNNNNNNNNNNNNNNNNNNNNNNNNNNNNNNNNNNNNNNNNNNNNNNNNNNNNNUUUCAAGGUUGUGAAGCCUUUCUCAAAAGUUUUAAAACUUGCCAAUGGAACUCAAAGAUUGCAAGUUAUUCCUUUUACAAAAUCCUCAAUUUUCAUCGAUCAUUAUGACAUAAGAUUUUGUGGUAUCCACUUGUGUAAAUAUUUUAAAUUGACGAUCAAAUUAGUUCAUUGUAUUCAAAUAAGAUCAAGGAGUGUAGCUGUAAAAAAAUCAUCAAAAUCGAAGUUAAAAUAACCGUUAAAUUGUGAUUUUUCGUUUAUAACCGUUGAAAAGUUUUGUCCCGUUACUUUAUCUCUGAAUGUUUGUUUUUGUUUUUGCAAUUUUUUGCGUAUGCGAUCUCGAAGUAUAUACAAACAUGUUUGACGGUUGGAUUGUUGAAACUAGUUUCGUAGAAUGCGUAUCUCAUCAAAACGAUAGAUUCAAUAACAGUUAAGAGUUUAUUCUUACUUUCAUCAAAUAUAACAUAAGAUUUUGGGGUAUCCACUAGUGUAAAUAUUUUUUAAAUUGAAGAUUGAGUUCAUUCAUUGCAUUCAUAUGGGGUCAAGGAGUGUACUUGUAAAAAAUCAUCAAAAUCGGAGUUAAAAUAACCGUUAAAUAGUGAUUUUUCGUUGAUAACUGUUGAAAAGUUUUGUCCCGUUACUUGAUGUUUGAAUGUUUUUUUUUUCUGAUUUUUGGUGCAUGCGAUCUCGAAGCAUAUACAAACAAGUUUGGCGGUUGAAUCGUUGAAAUUAGUUUCGUAGAAUGUGUAUCCCAUCAAAACGAUAGAUUCACUAACACUUAGAGUUUAUUUAUACUUUGAUUAAGUAUAACAUAAGAUUUUGUGGUAUUCAAUAGUGUAAAUAUUUUAAAUUGAAGAUCGAACUCAUUCAUUCAUUGUAUUCAUAUAUAGGAUCAAGGAGUGUAGCUGCAAAAAAGUCAUCAAAAUCGAAGUUAAAAUAACUGUGAAAUUGUGAUUUUUUGUUUAUAACCGUAAAAAAGUUUUGUCCCGUUACUUGAUCUUUGAAUGUUUUUUUUUUUUUGCAAUUUUUGGCAUAUGUGAUUUUGAAGUAUAUACAAACAUAUUUGACGAUUGGAUUGUUGAAACUAGUUUUGUAGAAUGUGUAUCUCAUCAAAACAAUAGAUUCACUAACACUUAAGAGUUUAUUCAUACUUUCAUUAAGCAUAACAUAAGAUUUUGUGAUAUCCACUAGUGUAAAUAUUUUAAAUUGAAGAUCGUGUUCGUUCAUUGUAUUCAUAUAGGGUCAAGGAGUGUAUCUGUAAAAAAAUCAUCAAAAUUGGAGUUAAAAUAACCGUUAAAUCGUGAUUUUUCAUUGAUAACCGUCGAAAAGUUUUGUCACAUUACUUGAUCUCUGAAUGUUUAUUUUUUUCGAUUUUUGGUGUAUGCGAUCUCGAAGCAUAUACAAACAAUUUUGAUGGUUGGAUCGUUGAAAUUAGUUUCGUAGAAUACGUAUCCCAUCAAAACGAUAGAUUCACUAACACUUAGAGUUUAUUUAUACUUUCAUUAAGUAUAACAUAAGAUUUUGUGGUAUCCACUAGUGUAAAUAUGUUCAAUUGAAGAUCAAAUUCAUUCAUUGUAUUCAUAUAAGGUCAAUGAGUGUAUCUGUAAAAAAUCAUCAAAAUCGGAGUUAAAAUAACCGUUAAAUCAUGAUUUUUCGUUUUAUAACCGUAGAAAAGUUUUGAACCAUUACUUGAUUUCUGAAUGUUUUUUUUUUUUUUUGCUGAUGCAAUCUCGAAGCAUAUACAAACAAGUUUGAUGGUUGGAUUGUUGAAAUUAGUUUCAAAGAAUUCGUAUCCCAUCAAGUUUAAUAGUGUGUGUAUAUAUAUAUAUAUAUAUAUUAUUUAUUUAUUUAUUAAGUAGAUUUAAAUUUAUUUAUUUUGGACGUGUAACACUUAAGAAAUUGAAUGGUAUGUAUAUUUAAGUUGAUCCAAUGGUCACCAAUUUUUAAAAUUUAAUUUAAUAUAUAUAUAUAUAUAUAAAAAAUAUAUAAUCAAGCGACACUAGUCUUCUUUUAACCGACGCUAAAUUUAUGUCGAUUACAAGCGACACCGAAUUUCAAAAAUAUUUAAUAAAAAUUAAAACUUAUGUCGCCUACAACAGACACUGGCUUUGAAAAUAUGUAAAAAAACUAUCAUUAGUGUCUGAAAAAAGCAACACACUAGUCUUCUUUUAACCGACGCUGACAUUAUGUCGGUUAAAAGCGACAUAGUUUUUUUUAAUGCAACACCACUAUUAAAAAAAUAUUAAAAUCUAUGUCGGUUAUAAGCGACAUUAAAGUUUUAUGUCGGUUAUAAGCGAUAGUAAUUCCGACACCAUGUAAAGUAGGUGUCGGAAUGUCUUAAGCACCACUAUGUUUUAUAAAAGCAACACCAACCACCAACACAAUAAGGCCCUUUUGUAGUAGUGUUCGUUGACCGUCUUUUCGUGACGCAUACGAGUUACCAUUUUAUUGUAUUCUCGAAGUACUUGAUGGUACGAACAUGCAAGCGUGAGCGGAAUCAAAAUUGGAGUUACAAUAAAGAUUUUAUGGAACUACGAAUCUGAAAUAGUAAAAAAAAGUAUUACUAUUUUAUAUAUUUUAUAUAUUUCUUUUAAUUAUUAUAUUAAUAUAUUAUUAUGUUAUUAUUUUUCUGUGGGAUAUUUUAAUUAUUUAAACAAUAUUUUUCUGGCCAUGGGCCCACACCCCACUCUUCCCUCGAGUUUUACUAAUGUGUCCCAAUAUUAUGCUUAGGUGUGAUUACUAUCGAAGACUCUGACCUUCCUAGCUCGAACGGAUGUAACAUCACAAGCACCUGUGAGUGAGUUUUUUCUUUAAUAUAGUAUAUAUAUAAUUGUUAGUUUCCAUUUAUACAUUUCAUAAAGAUUUUUCUACAAUACGCCUAGAUUAGCGUGACGUUUAUAAGAUUUAACGCAUUGAUAGAAAUUAUGAAUCUAUGCCACGUCCUACAGGAUGCACAUGUAUGCGUAUUAGUAUGGAUGCUUUAAUGGUAUUUACGGUUAUGAAUAGUAUUUCAUUGACUAGGGUUAAUGAAUUAUCGAGUUAUUGAUUUACCAUUGCAUGAUCAUAUUUACAUUAUCUGCUCAUCGUUUGUUGCACCAGUGUUAGUACUCACCCGGGCCAGAACCAACCUUUCACGUGAAUGUUCACAUCGCACCGUACGCUGACUUUGGAUCCAUUGUAGGUGCCAGUCCUGUCCUAGAUUGCUAUAGGCAAUCAGGACUCGUAUGUGAUGUGCAUAACGCCAAUCUUCACGUGAUUGUAGUACUAGAGCGUAAAUCAUUAAUACACUCAGUCAUGUUCAUGUCAGAAUACAUUUGCAUGAACUCGUGUGUUAGCAUGUGUCCAUGAGCAUUCGAUGUGAUAUGUUUAUUUCUGUGAGAUAUUGUGAUUACUGGAAGUUAUUUGCUUAUUUACGAAUUUUGUGAAGUUUUAUAUUUUUGAGGUAUUGCAGACUACGGUAAGUAUUUUCAUACUAUACGUAGUAUAUCUAUUUUGGAAACUAUACUUGUUUUACCGCGAGGGGUUAUUAUGUUUUCAAAAAGGUUUUUAUAAAACUUUAUUUUUAGGCCUACUCACCUUUGUUUUUCGCCCCUCAGGUUUUAGUGGCUGAGCUUUCGUGUCGACGAGGAUUCUUGACAAAUCUUGGUAUAACAUCUUGGUAUAGUGGUUACCUUCAAUGGUAUAAUUCUCAUCCUACUUUACUGUACUUUACUUAUGCUCUAACGUCACGUGUAAAUUGGGUUCAUUCCUGCUCACAAGCGUACUCUUAUAUUCAGACACUUUUAGAGUUAAAUUUAUUCAUAUUUUCCACAUCACUACACUUUAUGGCUUUGUCACCCUUCUGGUGUCGGUUAGCAUAGCUUGAUUUGAAGUCCAGAUGAAUAUUUCAGGUCGGAGUGUGUCAAAUUAGUGAUUGCGAGUUGAAAAAAUAAAUGCCUAUAAAAAAGCAAGCCCAAUGUCAAAUUGCAAUAUUACAAAGAGAAGCGUCACUAAACCAAUGGUUAAUUGGUACUAUCUACACAUGCGUGUAACAUAUGCACGUCGUUAUGUGUUUUACAUAUACUAUGGGCAGACAGGCAUCCCUAUAUUCUAUUUAUAAACGCAUUUAAUAAAUUGAGGAAAACAACAAAGGUGCAUCUUUGCUAGCUAGGUUUUCGUUCAACCUCCAAAAAAGUUGGUGCUAUUUGCACAAAUUGUUUAAAAAAUUAAAGGCUUGUUUGGUAUUGUAUUAAAAAAAUUCAUAAUUUUUCAAAAUAUUUUUUUAAGAAUAUCUUUUAAUAACAAUUUUUUUAAGAUCUAAAAAACUUGUUUGUUGUGAGAUUCAAAAUAUUUUUAAAAUUUUAAUAAUUAAAAAGAAAAGAAAAAAAAACCCUACAACAACUCGUCAUUGAGGAAUUAUUACUAAAUUUAAUUGGACAAACAGAGAGAUCUGAAGAGGGUCAGAGGAGAGGGAGGUGAGACAAAAGGAGGGGAGAGAGCAGUGAGUGGGAGAGAAAUAAGAGUGAAGGAUUCAGAAGAGAGGAGAAAGAAAUGAGAGUGAGGAUCAUAUCAGGAAAGGAGAGAGAAAGAUAGAUAGAGAUAAAGUCCUAGCUAAAAAAGAUCGGAAGUGAGAGGAAAGGAGAAAAAAAGUAGUGCAUUUGGAGUAUAAACACUCUAUACAUUUGGUACUUUUUUUUUUAGUACAACGAUAUAUUUUUAUACUAAGGAGAGAGGGAGUUCGGCUAAGCCACACGAUGGACAAUUUAAUUUGGUAUCGAAUUCGUCAUCCACGAGAUUCGAACCUAAGACCUCUCACUUACAAGUGAAUAGGAAUAUCAUCAGACCGUAAUACUGAGUGACUAAACAUUUGGUACUUGAAUAAGAACGGCAACAUAUAUAAUAGUGCCACAAUGAACCUUAGUAUGUCUCAACAGACUAGAUUAAUAAGAUCAUAUGACCUAAGAUUCUUUAUUAACAUGUACAUUUUACAGAAAUAUAUACCGUUUCAUCAUAUAUGUUGCAUAUGUGCAUGGCAUCAUCGUUCAUAUAGUAUUCAUGGUCGUAAUGAGCGUAAUGUCCCAUACAAUUCUUCCUCAUGCGAGGUUAUAGAAGACGGAUUAUAUAUGUUCUAUUUAAAUGGUUGAUCAAUUUCUGUUAAUUGGAUUGAUGCUCGUGAAAAUUGAUCCUAGCAUGUUUUGAGAUGGCUUGUUGUAUUUGCAAUCAAGGAAUGACUCCUAAUGGAAUUCAUACGCGCCAAGUGUAGCUUUAGCAACAUUAAGGUACUCUCGAUGAUAAAAGAUUGUUGAAAUUCUCUUCCUCAACCACUGAAUAUUAUAGAGGGAAAAGUCAUGCGUUAGGUAAUACAUGUUGAGUAUUGUUCAUUGGUUCCUUUCUAGUGGAGUGGGAAGUUGACCCAUAAUUAUUGGAAGAGAAAUUUUAUUUGAACCCAUACAACAUUUUUCUACACCCAACGUACUCUUUACGCUUAUAUUAUUUUUUAAUUAAAGAAUCAGUCUCUCUUUAAACCCAAAUUUACUAUCUAAACUACCCUCACAAACUCAAUUCAAUAUAUAAAAAUUCAUCUUUACACCCAUUUAGAAAAGAAAAUCCCAAAUGAGUGAAUGAAGAAUUAAGAUUUUUGUCAUGGCAACCAUUUGUUAUAGUGAAUUGAAUUGAUCAGCAGCAUCAAAUUGUUUUUUUAAACUUUUGCGACGUCGGUUUGGAGUGCAAGGUUGUUAGGAAAUGAUCUUCGCCAAGCUCUUAAUAGAGUAGUCCAAAUAGCUAGCCUAAAUGUGAUUUGUGGAACUGAGUGAUGAAUUUGUAAUUCAAGAUUAAACAGUUCAGUAGCUGCUAGGUAAGCAGUUGAACUAGUACUUUUGAAAUUUGAAUCAUGUAAAAUUAUGUGGACACCUUAGUGAAAGUAAAUUUCAGUAGAACUUCUCAUCACGUUUUCUUGAAGGAUCAUGGCAGUAAUUUUCAUUUGAGUGAUAUAUGUUGCUUUUAUAGGCAUACAUAGUUGAAUUGGAAGCAUAACUAAACAAAUAAUGAGAAGAGAACUCACACUUUAAACAUGCACUCGUAAUGACAUAGAAAACAUUUCUAUGUGUUGAAAGCUUUCUAACUCUUUUGUUCUUUGUGGUGAUAUUGCUUGUAAUUAUUGCUCUUCCUGAGCGAGUUAUCAUGAAGUUAGAAAGGAAACGAUAUUAUUAGGUGAUCGUAGGGUUUUAUGGCAGCUCUUAAGAAUUUAGUCAGAAUGAACGUAGAAUAAAUAUUGUGCGAUGGUAGAACUUGAUUAUUGAGUAUGGGUUUAUUGAUAAAUUUUAGUUUUAUUCUUAAUUUCAUCUUGUACUUGAUAAUAAUUAUGCAAUAGGAUAAAAUAGAUAAUUCACAUUUAGAAUUUAAAUUAGGUGUAGAAAGAGGUUCGAUGGGUUCAAAUAAAAUUUCCCUUAUUGCAAUUAAGUUAUACAAUAUUACAAUGGGAACACCAGAUAUGCUGUGUUCUUUAGUAUUUUGCCAUUUGGUUUAACAAAUAUCGAUCCCAAUCAUUCUGCAAUAUUAUUUCCAAUUACUUAAUGUUUUUUUCUUUUGGGAUGGUAUACACUGGAAGCAUUUAUAUUAGCAGUUUGACAUGGCAAGGUAAACAAGCUUUCUUGUACAUAAUGAAUGAAAAUUCACUGGUGAAUUUAUAGAAGAAAACUUUUAACUCAUCAAAAGAAUAUCACUAGACUUAUGCUUUAAGAAAAGCAAUUAAAAUGGGGGCAAAGAACGUAAUGGAUUUAAAUAUUGUAAAGCUUUCCAUACAAGUGUUUUUUUUUUUUUUAAGUUUCAUUAUUAGGAACAACAAAUACAAAAAGUAUCAGAUGAGUACAUUACUUUAGUAACCAAUAUCAUAAUUUGAACUCAAAUGUAAGGAGACGUUCAAACUUGCUCAAACUUAAAUGUAAGGAGACGCACACACUGCUAAGGAAUCUAACCCACACAACUACAACUUUGUAGAAAAUAUUUUAUUACAGGAAAAGAAGAAAGAUAGUUUUAACUACGUACCUCAUGAAUUUUAAAAAAUUUAAAGUUAAAGUUAAGAUAUCCCCUGUCAAUUUUGUCUUUCUAACCAAGGAAAGAAAAGUAAAAUAUAUCCCAUCCCAUAUCAAAUGGAACGUAAUAAAGCAAAACUGGGAAUAAACGUCCAUGAAUAAACCUUCCCUGUACUGUACAAAAUUAAUUAGAUUGAGUGAGAGACAUAACUAAGAGCCAUGAAAUUCCACUACCUUCAUAUUAUAUAUAUAUCAAUUAUUCCAACCCAAGAAGUCUGGUUGCAAUUAGUACAAUGAGAAAGAAGAUGAAUGGCCCACUUGGGAUGUGCUUGCUGAUCUUGUGUACUUUUUUGGUGAUGAAGAAGAAGAUGACAUGUUUGACCUUCUCCUAAGCAUCUGCCUCAUCCCAUCUGCCACUCUAACUGCAGGGUUGGAUUUGAAUUUACCACAAAAUGACAUGUGUGCCCUCACAGCUUCCUCCAUGCCAAAUGGCUGAUUGCUGCCUUUGCCAACCUCAUCCCUUACUGCUUCUGAGCACAACCCACACAGCCAUUUCCCAUCAAAUUUUUGCCUUCACUUGUGUGAUGUAGUCUUGUGUGCAAUCUUCUUUUAGUCCACAGCACUCACACCUAACCAUCUCAAUCUCCAUUUGUUUUUUUUUUCUUCCUCUUUUUGUUUUCUGCUCUGAUGAAUUGUGAAGGGAUUGAAGAGAAAAGUGAGAUAUUUUUAUUUGUUGGAUUGGAUUGCAAUGAUGGGGUAGAAAGUGGAGUUUCUUUGCAUUUGUUUUCUCUCUUGAGACGCGGUGAUUGUGUUGCUCACUUGGUUGCUUCAGAAAAAACUGAGAAGUGUUUGAUGUAUGAGAGCUUUUAUGGUUGGGAUUUUCUCUGUCUAUUGGUUAUUAGGAAUUUAGGAGAUGAAAGAGACAGCGAGGGGGAGAGAGAGAGAGAGAGAGAGAGAGCUCUUAUAAGGCCACUAGGCCAGGGUAGGGAAAACUGCCAUAAUUUCCUCCAUGUUCUAAGGGACAUGGGCCAGUGGGAAACGAGACAAGAGUGGUCGGAGGGGUGAAGGAUCCCUUUCCACCUAAUCUAUUAGUUUGGGAUUUGAACCGUUAAAAUUUAAAUCAACAGAAAAAGUUUAUUAUCACUUUAAAGGGUUCUCUAUUUGUGACCUUUGAAUUAAAUUUUAACAAUCCGAAUCCCGAACUAGAUGAAUUAGGUGGAAAGGGAUUAUGAGAGGAUCCCUUUCCCUCAAGGCUGGCCCUAUCUAUCAUAUUCAAAUACUUAUUUCUUAAGGAAAACUAAUGAAAAUGAUUUGAAAACUUUAAAUUUUAAUGAUAAGGAAAAAAUAAAGGGUAAAGUGAAUAGUAUCAGGAUUGACUUUUUAGUGUAAAAAUGUGAUUUUUCGUUAAAGUGAACAGUACCGGAAUGUUUUCGUCAAAGUUCCAUAUUUCUUAUCCCCCAUUACACUUGCCUUCAUGACUAAGUGGCUUAACCCCAAUUAUGCCGUGGACACCCUCGAAUGGGGAGACUUUGACAUAAUCAAAGAUUAAGUACUUAACCACAAGACAACGACGAUGCCUCAGGUCUAAGGAUUACUUACAUCUUUCCAACCAUUAGAGUUACUUGCUUGACAUGUGAGUAGACCUCCAUGCAAGUACUCCCGUUCGAUUGUGUUCAGUGAACUCAUUCCCUUAAUGAGCACCUACAUACUUGUCUUAGUGUCACAACACGAAUGGGUUGAGACUUUCCAUCCUUCCAAUUGAAGCGGACACAGCAUGUACUGGUCUAAGCAUUGUCAGUAUCCCUCCGACAAUCCAAUGACCAGGAACCUUUUGGACAUAAUGGUUAUGUAAAGAAGGUCUCUGUAGUCUAACAUCAUUAGAUCACUUCUUCAAUCGAUCCAUUGUCCAUGGAUUCACUAUUCAGGACAUAUAUCGUUUAUUGAGAUAGUCCUAAUUAGUAUCUUCGCCAUUUGAUGUAUAAGAAUCAUCCAUACAUCGAUUCAUUUGUCCUGAAAGAUUUCUUCCAAAGAUUGACUUUCAGGGCAUAUUUCCAACAAGGGGAGCCGGCGACCGAAGCCCCGGUGAACGGCGAUCGUAACUAUAACGCUCCUAAGGUAGUGAAAUUCCUUAUCGGGUAUGUUCUGACCCACAUGAAAGGCGUAACGAUCUGGGCACUAUCUCAGAGAGAGGCUCGGUGAAAUAGACAUGUUUGUGAAGAUGUGGAUUACCUGCACCUGGACAGAAAGACCUUAUGAAGCUUCACUGUUCCCUGGGAUUAGCUUUGGGCCUUUCCUGCACAACUUAGGUGGAAGGCGAAGAAGGCCCCCUUCCCCUCUCCCGCGGGGGGGGGGGGGGGGCGGCCAAAGCCAUCAGUGAGAUACCACUCUAGAAGAGCUAGAAUUCUAACCUUGUAUCAGAACCUACGGGCUAAAAGACAGUCUUAGGUAGACAAUUUUUAUGGGGCAUAGGCCUCCCAAAAGGUAAUGGAGGCGUGCAAAGGUUUCCUCGAGCCAGAGGGAGGCCUUCGACUACAAAGGCAGAAGAGAGCUUGACUGCAAGACCCACCUGUCAAACAGGGACGAAAGUCGGCCUUAGUGAUCUGAUGGUGUCGAAUGGAAGGGCCAUCUCUCAACAGAUAAAAGUUACUCUAGGGAUAACAAGUUGAUCUUCCCCAAGAGCUCACGUCGACGAGAAGUUUUGGCACCCUAAUGUUGGUUCUUCGCCACCUGGGGCUGUAGUAAAUGGUCUCUCAACUUUAACUCAAUUGAAGCGAUGGUAGCUAAACUUUAUUUCCAAGACCAUUGGUUCCUUAACUAGUUAAAAUGUGCAGCUAUGGACCUUUUCGUUCACUCUGUCAAUGUUUUAGUUAAAUUCAUUCAUGUACCUGACACAUGAGACUAAUUGUAAGGGCAAAUAAGGAAACAAAAUUUUGCAGGGUUGAAGUUAAUUGAACUCAGUAAAUGAGGCUAAAGGUUACGAAGGAAAACAUCCGCAAUUGAAACUUCCUCCAUGCCCAUUUGAAACUCUUUCUAUCCCUAUUUGAAACUUCCUCCAUGUCCAAUCCUCUGUCUUCUCUCUUGUUACUGCCGCAACCCUCUCUCUUUGUCCUUUAUAUUUUUCAGUUACUUGGCCUAUAACAUGUUAUCAGUAUGCUCUUGCCUAAAGCUGAGGAAACUAACACUAAGGAGCUGAAGUUUCGUGGGAGUUCUUCUACAAAUUCAAAGGCUCAAUUGUUUUUUCCCAAUUAGGUUCUCCUAAAAUCCAUGUUAGAUAUUUUUAACGAUCAUGAAACAUGAAAACAUUCCCCAUGAUGCAUAAACCCCAUACACUUAUAUUUACCUUACUAUAUAUAUUGUAUAUGUUCAUAUAUUUGUCAAUAUAUAUAUAUAUAUAUAUAUAUAUGUUCAUGCAUAACACAAAUUAUAAAUUUGCUAUGUGGAAUUUGUGAGUCAAAGAAUCGAAUAUAUAUAUUCAUGCAUAACACAAUUAUAAAUUUGCUUAAAUUUUGCUAUGUGGAAUUUAUGAGUCAAAGAAUCGAAUAUAUAUAUUCAUGCAUAACGCAAUUAUAAAUUUGCUAUGUGGACUUUGUGAGUCGAAGAAUCGAAAGAAAACUUAAGCAAUUAGGGCUUUACCAAAACUUAAAUAUUUCCAAAAACAAAAUAAAAUUAGGGUUAUGCUACUGAGCCACGACUACGAGCCGCAUUGGCUGGCCUGCAACCAAGCUGUGUUGUGCAGUGCCCUGGCGACGUCGUUUAAUGUCUGGACUAGCAGCAGUAGCCCUCUGGGCUUACUGCACAUGAAGACAAUCAGGCUUCUAGCAUGGGUUUGGUUUUAGUGGGGCCUACAGCCCCAACCAGCCUCUAGCAAGCUUGCAGCUUUUCUGGGCCUUAUCUCCUGCACCCGACCCACUUCUAGCAAGCCUGAUGCUUGAUGGGCUCAUCUCCGAGUCAGGACCCACCUCCAACAGCCUUAUUGUGCUACUUGUCUUCGCCCUUCACCUCGACCCGCGCUGCUCUGUUGCUGUUGGGCCGCUGUACAGCCCUUGUCCUAAAAGCCCAAAAGCAUGCAGUUUUGCUACACGGACGUGCCAACUGCAGCCAAUAAUCACAUGCUGGGCCGCGUCCAUUUUUCAAUCUAAUUCCAUAUUUUGGCGUCCCCCGCUUCUUAACCAUACCCAAUUUUUUUUGUGAUAUUUUUUAUUAGAGCCGUACUAGGCUAUAUUUUCGUUUAUUGCAUAGCCCGAUGCCUACCAUGGCUUAUAUGACCUAAACGUCAUUAUUUUACUUCCACGAUCAAAUCUAAAAUAUACGAUCUAUUGAAUUAAUUAAAGUCGCCAACAGUUCAUUAAUUCAACCAAAAUCCAAAAAUUUUGGCCUCAAGUUCACUUUUUAGCAUCAACUAUUCAAUACUUUAUUUAUAAGAUAUAAUUUUGUGAACGGGACUAGAAAUAGUCACCCUAUUCCACAAUUUCCACUUGCAAUAAGUUAUAGGAGUUGGAAUAGUUGUAUGUAUCAAAUACAAGUCAACCCUAUUCCAUAUUUUCCGCGUGCAAUAAGUUAUAGGAGUUGGAUUAGCUGUAUGUUUCAAAGACUAUGGUAAGUCUUUAAUUCAGCUUAUUGGACAGUCUGACUUUAUAUUCAUUAGAUUGGUAAAGUAAAUAAAUAUAAUAUUUCUUCAUUAAAAUCAUGACCGUUCAUUAUCGUACUACAGAGAGUUACUCUAUAAUCGUUGAAGAGUUUAUAAUUCAAAGUUACAUGAUAAUGAUAAUGUUGUAUUAAUUUCAGAGAAAUUGAAGGAGCUCCAGCAACAUCUUCUUCAUCAGAGCCUCAGAAGGUACGUAGUGAGAACAAGUCAAUGAAUUCCACCGUGUUAUAGUUUUACAGCCACUGCUGAUCAUUUUAUUCUAUAAUUCAAAGGCAAAGAAACUAGUUAAUUACUAUAACAAGUUUUCUUCCCUUUGAUUUGUAGCUGCAGUGAACUCAUCUUCUAGCUGCCCCAUGGCAAAUACAGGAAGAAAUCAUACUGCCGUUACAGUUACCACUACGGAAUAUAAUCGCAUGACGACGUUGAAGCAAAGAAUCGAAGAAACGAAAUGGCUACUGCAUCCGUUAGCAGGUAAGAGCUCUUGUUGCAUCUUCAAAGUACCUCAUUGCCUGGCGAAAACAAACGAGGGGAAGUACCGGCCUCAUAUCAUCUCAAUCGGCCCUUAUCACUACGGUGAUAAACACGUGGUGAUGAUGCAACAACACAAAUGGAGAUUUCUUGACAAUCUUCUCGGUCGAACGCAGUUGAUCGGACUUGAUGACUACCGGCAGGUUGUAGCAGAAAUCGAAGAUGAUAUAAGAGAGUGCUAUGCAGAGACCAUUAACUUAUGCAGCCGCCAUCUGGUUGAGAUGAUGGUACCAGACGGUCUCUUCAUCAUCGAAAUGUUCUGCAAAGUAAAAUUAUUAUCGAGAUCUUGUUCUAUUGGAGAAUCAAGUUCCUUUCUUCGUUCUUCAAAAGUAGUUUGAAAAAUCGAAUUCUUUAACUGCGCAGUAGGGAGGCCUCCUCAAGUCUUGAGGCAUUAUUUCAGUGUGUCGAAGGAAAGCAUCUACUCGAUUUACUUCACCUGAGUUUUGUCCCCGAACCUCAGGAUGAUUCGCCUCAGGAGGACGUUGAGUUUAUCCAAUCGGCAAAAAAGCUUCACGAUCUCGCCGGAAUUAUGUUCAAAACACGGGAGGCGCAGAGCUUCCUAGACAUCAGAUUUUGCAAUGGAGUUCUUGAAAUUCCGCACAUAAAACUAGAUGAUCUCCACACCCAUUUCUUCUUAAACUUGGUUGCAUUUGAACAACGCUACUCUCAUUGCCCAAAGUAUAUAAACACUUACGCUGCAUUCAUGAGUUGUCUCGUCCGCACGCCGAUGGACGCGACAUUUCUGUCCGAUUAAAACAUUAUCGAGAAUUAUCUCGGAACCGACAAAGAGGUCGUGCAUUUCUUCAAAAACCUCCGCAAAGAUGUGCCUUUCGAUAUCGACAGUAUUUAUCUGAACAAGUUGUUCAACGAAGUGAACGAGUACCAAAGAAAUAUUUUGCACGUGCAGUGGGCGGAUUUCAGAUUCAAGUAUUUUGAGUCCCCAUGGUCCUUCCUCUCUGCUUUAGCUGCUCUGAUCCUCCUAAUACUCACCACAAUUCAGGCCUUCUUUGCCGUCCACGGAUAUCUGCGUCCGCCAAGUUCGGGCUGACGGAGGUGAGCAUUAAGUCUAAAGAUCGUCUCAAACCGGCGGAUCUUUUUCUUCUCACUUUUUGUCAUUGAUAUUUUGCUUGUAAAUCAAAAAAUACAGAAUACAGUUGAACUUUAUGAUCUCAAUACAUUUCUGUUGCUAGGUAAAUAUCUUGGCCACAUACAACCUAACGUUUUGUUUUCGACGAGUAUACAAAUUCUAUGCUAGUUCGACGUAACUGAACAGCUGGUAUAAUUUAUGAACAGUUGUAUAAAAUUUAUACACCCGUACUAACAUAUAUACAAUUGGUUUUAGAGUUUUCGGCACAAAUGUUCAGUGCAGUGAACCGCCAAAUCAGGUUUGGGGGCUGACCUGAAGAAUCUGAUGCGAGCCUUUUUCUGAUUGUUGCU
rnacentral:lncRNA from 1 species